UAGGGAAUUUUGCGCAAUGGGGCGAAAGCCUGACGCAGCAACGCCGCGUGAACGAGACGCCCUUCGGGGUGUAAAGUUCUGUCAGUGGGGACGAAAGAUGACGGUACCCACAGAGGAAGCACCGGCUAACUCCGUGCCAGCAGCCGCGGUAAUACGGAGGGUGCAAGCGUUGUCCGGAAUCAUUGGGCGUAAAGAGUUCGUAGGCGGUAUGUUAAGUCUGGUGUUAAAUGCAGAAGCUCAACUUCUGUUCGGCACUGGAUACUGGCAAACUAGAAUGCGGUAGAGGUAAAGGGAAUUCCUGGUGUAGCGGUGAAAUGCUUAGAUAUCAGGAGGAACAUCGGUGGCGUAAGCGCUUUACUGGGCCGUAAUUGACGCUGAGGAACGAAAGCCAGGGUAGCAAAUGGGAUUAGAUACCCUGGUAGU
rnacentral:rRNA from 1 species